UACGUAGGGUGCGAGCGUUGUCCGGAAUUAUUGGGCGUAAAGGGCUCGUAGGCGGUUUGUCGCGUCGGGAGUGAAAACCUUGGGCUUAACUCAGGGCUUGCUUUCGAUACGGGCAGACUAGAGGUAUGCAGGGGAGAACGGAAUUCCUGGUGUAGCGGUGAAAUGCGCAGAUAUCAGGAGGAACACCGGUGGCGAAGGCGGAUCUCUGGGCCUGUCCUGACGCUCAGGCGCGAAAGCUAGGGGAGCGAACAGG
rnacentral:rRNA from 1 species